rnacentral:rRNA from 1 species
ACGAAGGGUCCUAGCGUUGUUCGGAAUUACUGGGCGUAAAGCGCAUGUAGGUGGCUUAGCAAGUCAGGUGUGAAAUCCUCGGGCUCAACCCGAGACGUGCAUUUGAUACUGCUGAGCUUGAGUAUGGGAGAGGGUAGUAGAAUUCCUGGUGUAGUGGUGAAAUACGUAGAUAUCAGGAGGAAUACCGGUGGCGAAGGCGGCUACCUGGCCUAAUACUGACACUGAGAUGCGAAAGCGUGGGGAUCAAACAGGA